rnacentral:misc_RNA from 1 species
AAGUCGUAACAAGGUUUCCGUAGGUGAACCUGCGGAAGGAUCAUUAACAAUCCAAACAGUGGAUUUUAUCCGCUACAAACCUCUUGUGAACUGUUUUAUAUAUUGCCGGUAGGGUCGCAUAGCCCUGGCUGCAUCUUACCGGGAAGGAAAGUUUGUAUUCAAACUUUUUGUUGUCCUCAAUCUAUAUGCCUAGCCUGAAUUAAAAGUAAACCUUUACAACUUUUGACAAUGGAUCUCUAGGCUCUC